AUUGAACGCUGGCGGCAUGCCUUACACAUGCAAGUCGAACGGCAGCACGGGGGCAACCCUGGUGGCGAGUGGCGAACGGGUGAGUAAUACAUCGGAAUGUACCCAGUAGUGGGGGAUAACUAGUCGAAAGAUUAGCUAAUACCGCAUACGCACUAUGGUGGAAAGCGGGGGAUCGCAAGGACCUCGCGCUAUUGGAGCAGCCGAUGUCCGAUUAGGUAGUUGGUGGGGUAAAAGCCUACCAAGCCUGCGAUCGGUAACUGGUCUGAGAGGACGACCAGUCACACUGGGACUGAGACACGGCCCAGACUCCUACGGGAGGCAGCAGUGGGGAAUUUUGGGACAAUGGGGGAAACCCUGGAUCCAGCAAUGCCGCGUGUGUGACGAAGGCCUU
rnacentral:rRNA from 1 species